rnacentral:rRNA from 1 species
UAGAAGUUUUGUAGUCCUGGCGUCAGGAUAAAGCGCUGCGGCGCACAUAAGACAUGCAAAGUCGAACGGACUUAACCAUUAGUUUACUAUUGGAGCGGUUAGUGGCGGACUGGUGAGUAACACGUAAGCAACCUGCCUAUCAGAGGGGAACAACAGUUAGAAAUGACUGCUAAUACUGCAUAUGCCUUAGUAACACAUGUUACAAAGGGAAAGAAGCAAUUCGCUGAUAGAUGGGCUUGCGUCUGAUUAGAUAGUUGGUGGGGUAACGGCCUACCAAGUCGACGAUCAGUAGCCGGACUGAGAGGUUGAACGGCCACAUUGGGACUGAGAUACGGCCCAGACUCCUACGGGAGGCAGCAGUCGGGAAUAUUGCGCAAUGGAGGAAACUCUGACGCAGUGACGCCGCGUGCGGGAAGAAGGUUUUCGGAUUAUAAACUGCUUUAGACAGGGAAGAAACAAGACAGUACCUGUAGAAUAAGCUCCGGCUAACUACGUG